GGAGAAUCUGUCCCUGGAGUCCCUCCUGAGGGAGAAAAGAGGAAACAUGCAGUCAGUGGGAGACUGAGAGAACAGCAGACAUUUACAGAGAAGGACCCUCCUCUUCCUCCUCCAGAUCUUCGUUCAAGGCCAGUCUCAUUUCUGGCCCCAGGUCCUGCAGAGUUCGCAGCCCCGCCUGACACAGAUGCACGCGGAAAGAGACAGAUAUAUUGGAAACGACUCAACAGAAAUAAAAUGCAGAAGCUGGGAUAGAGAUCUACCUGUAGAGCUGAAGGGUUAUCGUUCUCUGAAUCUCCCAGACCCACUUUCUCUUUCCUUCUCCGGAACUUCCUAAAAUAGUCCUGGAUCAAGAAUGUGGCAUAGAAUUUACCCACAGUCAC